GCCAAAUGAUGCUUAUUUGAUAAAGGAGCACUUGAGUGCAAGGACGACUCUUACCUAUCACCCAUGACUGAUGGCU